rnacentral:rRNA from 1 species
GGGGAAUAUUGCACAAUGGGCGGAAGCCUGAUGCAGCGACGCCGCGUGAGCGAUGAAGGCCUUCGGGUCGUAAAGCUCUGUCCUAUGGGACGAUAAUGACGGUACCAUAGGAGGAAGCCCCGGCUAACUACGUGCCAGCAGCCGCGGUAAUACGUAGGGGGCGAGCGUUGUCCGGAAUUACUGGGCGUAAAGGGUACGUAGGCGGCUAGGUAAGUCAGGUGUGAAAUCCAUGGGCUCAACCCAUGUAAGCACUUGAAACUGCUUAGCUUGAGUUAAGGAGAGGAAAGCGGAAUUCCUGGUGUAGCGGUGAAAUGCGUAGAUAUCAGGAGGAACACCAGUGGCGAAGGCGGCUUUCUGGCCUUGGACUGACGCUGAGGUACGAAAGCGUGGGGAGCAAACA